AGUAGCAGUAGCACUGCUGCUGGUUGGUGCGGUGCGGCGAGUCCCACUCGAGCUCCUCGGGCUGGUAGGACAGCACCAUCUUCACGGCCUGCAGCGUCCUGGCGAUGGCACCCUUCUUCAGCGCGCCGCCUUUCUGCGGGGAGGUGACGUGUCGGAAACGGAGGAAGCCUUUUCUCGUGGAUCCCGCAUCUAUCCUCGCUCCCUCCCAGGAGGAUCUCUUAGGAAUCAUAUUAGCAUUAACACCAACGAUGAAGCCGACUGCGAGUGAUCUGCUCAUCACCACGUGCCCAGGACCUCGUACGGCGCGUGGCACACAACAUGUGUUCGAGGCAUGUUUGUCGACUCCAUGGUCUCUUGCCUCUUAUUCCUCAAUAUGGUCCUGAGGGUCACGACAAGCCCUCAACUCCCUAAGGAGGUAAGCCAGUAAAGUGGUAAGCGUAAUCAAGUGCUCAAUGCCUGCGGCUUGCUCAUCCUCGUGCUGUCCUCCCAGCGAUGCCAGCAGGGGCUCCGUCCUGCCCGGGACGCACAGUUCUCUGGCUGGGGAAACACACUGCAGCACCCACGGGGGGCCUGGCGCACCGGGGGCCCUCUACCCAAUGUCUGCGGGGGUCUUCCCCGGCCGCUCCAUCGCCUUCAGUGAGAAGGUAACUCAGGAGAAGAGCUCCUCCGUGCUUUGGAUCUUGGGAGAAGAAAUUGAGGGCGAGGGGCGCUGGGAGAAGCGUCUCCACCUCCGCAUCAGCCACGACAUCUUGGAUGGAGCCUCUGCGAACUGGCUGGGUUCUGUGGCCUCCACUUGGCAGGCGCCUUGAAAUCCUUCCUUUCGGUAACACAUUCUUCAGGAAGGGCCUCCCAGCAACUCAGGAGCCCUGGGCCAAAGGUCUCAUGCAACUGCCCUGCGAGGCCACAGCCGUCAUCACCUCCUUUCUUCAGAUGAAGAAACCGAGGCUCAGAGAAGUGUCACUUGUUCAAGAACACGCAGCAAGCAAGUGGCGGAGCUGAAGCUUGGCCCGAGGCCUACUGAGCCCAAGCUUAGAGCUCCAAGCGGGAAACACGAGUGUUGUGACUGAUGAGUGGGGUCUGUGAUGCCCGUGGGAAGGGAGAACGGGGCCGUGGGGGGGACUGUCAGCCCUCCGCGGGCCAGGAUGGCGCCCGACCCAGCUCCGGCUCAGCCCCAGAGCUGCUCCAGCUCCGCCCAGACAUGAUCAUCGUCGCCCUGCCUGGUCCAUCUCUGCCUUCUCGGCUUCCCGCCACGGCUGGGGCUGCCUCCACUCGUUUCCCCCACACGUGGAUCGGGCGCACUGUGCUCACACGCAGAGGAGCCAGUUCUGAGCGCCCCUCCCCGUUCCUGGCCCCGGACUGACCCAGAGCCCUGUGCAGUCGGGCACGAAGUGGCAUCCCAGUUCUCCCAGCACCUUCCGGAGGAGUCCGAGCCACCUCCUCCACCUGCCUGCCUCCCUUCGUGACGUGGGAGUGAUCACAGGCGUGACAGACGUCCGAGUGCCUUUCUGUGUAAACAGGCUCGUCAUCGGAUCUCCUCAGGUGGGCCGGGGGGCAGGGGGGCCCAUCUGACAAGGGCAGAUGCAAGCAGUACCAGAGAGAAGGCGGCGGAUGGGAGUGGAGGAGGAGAGCGGGCCAGGGUGGGGCAGGGGAGCCCGGGCCCUUCGGGGUACUCACCAUGCUGUAUGUCCUUCCAGAGGACCCAGUAUUUGGAAUUAUCUUCAAAAGUCACAAGGCAGCUCUGCUUAGAACUGCUGACCUGGGCGCGGAGAGGGAGGGGCAACGUGAGAAAGUGGCCGGGGACCAGCCCCUGGGACAUGGAGGUCCUCUCCCAUCCACUCCUUGUGCUCCAGAAAGCAGAGCCAGGCUGGAAGGGGGAGGACAGUGGUUCCAGAGGCAGAGUGUGCCUGGGGACUUGGUGGGAAUGCCAAGGACGGUGCAGGCCAGGUGGUCACCUGCGGUCCCCUCCAGCCUGACUUUGUUUUGUUCUGUGGGCUCGUAGAGCUCUUUUCUAAAGACCUGGCUGCAUGAUGUCAGCCCUGAGGAUGGCACCUGCCCAAGCAGGCUCCGGCUCCUUCCACAUUCAUCUUUUGAGCAUGAGGGGCAGUAAGGGAGGCCCAGGCCAGAGGACGAGCAGAGACGCUGAGCCUGGGAACUGGGGCCGGGGAGGAAAGUUUACCCUCUUGAUCUUCCCGAGGUAAUACAGUCCAUCUGUCCAGCGGCACAGCACGUACUGGCCCUCCGUCAGCUUGGACAUCAGGUCUUUGAAGUUGUUCUUGGCUUUUGCCAGGGCCCCCUUGUUGGGGAGGUGGCUGGUGGCACCAUAGGAGUCCCGAGUCCCUGGGUCCAGAGUGUGAUUCUCCAUCAGCUUCCCCUGACACUGGAAGAGAGAGAGAGAGAACAGGGUUUUUACUCCUCACUCCCCGGGCCCAACAGUCCAUCCGGGGAAGGAAGGAGCCCAUCAUGGACACAACCCGUGGUACGGUGUGCUGGGCGCUUGUUAUCGCGCUGGAUCCUCGUGACAACCCUGCGGGGGGCAGGUUAUUACUCCCAUUCCACAGGCCGAGGAACUGAGGGCCGGCAGGGGAAGUGGCCAGUGGGGUGGAGGCAGAGGCAAGGCUUCAGUGAGGUGUGCUGGUCUGCACCCCUGCCCCUCUUCCCACCUCCUGCGCAGGCUGCCUUAGGCCUUCUCCGGGAGGGGAGCGGGGGGAAGUCUUUGCUCCCCCCACCCUGCCCCGAGAUCUGGGAAGGAAAGCUCCCAGGUGGCUAGUGACCAGGUACAGAUGGCCCGCUUCUGUCUUUUGUGAUCCCCCUUUCUGCUCUCAGUUAUGGGGUGACUUCAAGGAAACCAAUUCUGGGACAUCUAAAUCCACUCAGGGGCAAGUGUGCUCCAAGCAGUAAGUCAUCACAAGCUGCCGUGUCCGUCUGCACCUGUCUCUGUCCCCACCCUAUGAGACGCUCUCUUCUCCCUGCUGGUGGUACCACUGGUGGUCCCAGAACCCCCGAGCAUCUCUAGACUUCUCCCACUAGUCAGGUGCCGCCGUGUGCCAACUUCAAGCCCAGUGGGCCCUGGCAUGUGGCCCCUCUUUUCUGCGUCCCCGUCCUGGUCUGAUCUGAGGCCUCCCUUUUGCUUGGGCCCUUCAUUCACUCACUCGCUGUUGGGGAGCCUUGUGCUCACGCUUGCUGGCUCCUGGGGUGGGGAACGACACCACCACACCCAGGACAGGUCCCUCCCCGCCUCCCCGCCUCCCCGCUUCCCCACCAGACUCUUCCACGGGGCCAAGCAUUCCCUGUCUUUCUCCCGGAGGCCGUCUGUGGCUCCCCGUGUCAUCUCAGGCACUGGAAGCCGUCCCCAAGGCCCGCCUCCCUCCCUGCGCUCACCUGGCUCCGUGCCCCUGCGCGCUCUGCAGAGCCGACACAGCCGCGCUCUGUUCCCUGCGCCCGC